AUACUUUUCUGGCAAGAAUGGAUAUCAUGAACACAAAAGCAGUUUCCCAGGGUGAGCCUCAUGUGUUUCACUCCAGACGUGCUGACCCUGCAACUUAAUUGCAUAAUCUGUGAUGGGGAGGACUGUGCUCUCCUAA
rnacentral:snRNA from 14 species